GUCGAACGCUGGCGGCGUGCCUAAUACAUGCAAGUAGAACGCAGUUGCGCACAGGUGAGUAACGCGUAGGUAACUGCCUCAUAGCGGGGGAUAACUAUUGGAAACGAUAGCUAAUACCGCCUACUGUGAGAUAGACGUGCUUUGUAUUUGCUAGUUGGUGAGGUCAAUGCUCACCAAGGCGACGAUACAUAGCCGACGUUGGAGGGUGGUCGGCCACACUGGGACUGAGAAACGGGCCAGACUUCUGCGGGAGGCAACAGGAGGGAAACUUCGGCAAUUGACGGAAGUCUGACCGAGCAACGCCGCGGGAGUGAAGAAGGGGUUCGGAGCUUAAAGGUCGUUUGUUUGAGGAGCGGUAACUAACGAGAAAGGGACGGCUAACUACGUGCCAGCAGCCGCGGUAAUUC
rnacentral:rRNA from 1 species